rnacentral:lncRNA from 1 species
AUGUUAUAUAAAAGAGAAGAGAGAGAAAGCAGAUCUCAGUUAGUGAGAUAUUUUCUAGGGUUUCAGACUGUUCCUCUUGUUCACUCACGUUCUUGGUGAUUCUGGAAUCUUCUGGUGUUGAAGAUCGUCUUCUGGAGUUGAUCAUCUUGUGUUGAUCAUCCGUUCGGUUUAGAUCUCAGUGUUGAGAUCGUUGUAUUAGAGAUUGUGUUAAUCUCUUUGUUUUAUUUCUUCAAUCUGUUGAACUUGUAUAGUGUACUGGUUAAAGAUCUCAUACUUUUGAGAUCUAGGGUUUGGUUGGGUUAUUUUUCUGGGUUGGAUAAUCAAUAAAGUUUUGUCACUAUUUUUGUCGCU